CCUACAGGUGGCAGCAGUGGGGAAUAUUGGACAAUGGGGGCAACCCUGAUCCAGCCAUGCCGCGUGUGUGAAGAAGGCCCUCGGGUUGUAAAGCACUUUCAGUGAGGAAGAACGCCUGGUGGUUAAUACCCAUCAGGAAAGACAUCACUCACAGAAGAAGCACCGGCUAACUCCGUGCCAGCAGCCGCGGUAAUACGGAGGGUGCGAGCGUUAAUCGGAAUUACUGGGCGUAAAGCGCGCGUAGGUGGCUUGAUAAGCCGGUUGUGAAAGCCCCGGGCUCAACCUGGGAACGGCAUCCGGAACUGUCAAGCUAGAGUGCAGGAGAGGAAGGUAGAAUUCCCGGUGUAGCGGUGAAAUGCGUAGAGAUCGGGAGGAAUACCAGUGGCGAAGGCGGCCUUCUGGACUGACACUGACACUGAGGUGCGAAAGCGUGGGUAGCAAACAGGAUUAGAUACCCCGGUAGUC
rnacentral:rRNA from 1 species